UUGACGGUAUCUGAGGAAUAAGCAUCGGCUAACUCUGUGCCAGCAGCCGCGGUAAGACAGAGGAUGCAAGCGUUAUCCGGAAUGAUUGGGCGUAAAGCGUCUGUAGGUGGCUUCAAAAGUCUUCUGUCAAAGAUCAGGGCUUAACCCUGGGCCGGCAGGAGAAACUCUUAGGCUAGAGUUGGUAGGGGCAGAGGGAAUUCCCGGUGGAGCGGUGAAAUGCGUAGAGAUCGGGAGGAACACCAAAGGCGAAAGCACUCUGCUGGGCCACAACUGACACUGAGAGAC
rnacentral:rRNA from 1 species